UACAGAGGUGGCAAGCGUUGUUCGGAAUUACUGGGCGGAAAGGGCGCGUAGGCGGCCAUCUAAGUCAGACGUGAAAUCCCCCGGCUUAACCUGGGAACUGCGUCUGAUACUGGACGGCUUGAGUAUGGGAGAGGGAUGUAGAAUUCCAGGUGUAGCGGUGAAAUGCGUAGAUAUCGUGAGGAAUACCAGAGGCGAAGGCGGCUACCUGGACAAUUGCUGACGCUCAGGCACGAAAGCGUGGGGAGCAAAAGGG
rnacentral:rRNA from 1 species